rnacentral:misc_RNA from 1 species
AGUCGUAACAAGGUAUCCGUAGGUGAACCUGCGGAUGGAUCAUUAACAAAGGUGUUUUUGAAGUUGUGUGAACAGUUGGAGGUGGUGGUGGUGGUGGUGGUAUUGGGUGGUACUGGGUGGUAUUGGGUGGUAUUGGGUGGUAUUGGGUGGCAGUGUUUGUGGGUGGUGUAACCUUGGUCUAACCUUGGUCAACCUCACUCAACCUCACUCAACCUCACUCUCCCAACCUCACUCUCCCAACCUCCACCACUCCGUCCCUAUAAUGUAUACAAACUGAUGUCUGCUAGUUUCAAACUAAAACAACUUUUAGCAACGGAUCUCUUGGCUCUC